rnacentral:rRNA from 1 species
AGAGUGAACGCUGGCGGUAGGCCUAACACAUGCAAGUCGAACGGCAGCACAGUGGUAGCAAUACCAUGGGUGGCGAGUGGCGGACGGGUGAGGAAUACAUCGGAAUCUACCUUUUCGUGGGGGAUAACGUAGGGAAACUUACGCUAAUACCGCAUACGCCCUUCGGGGGAAAGCCGGGGAUCGCAAGACCUGGCGCGGAUAGAUGAGCCGAUGUCGGAUUAGCUAGUUGGUGAGGUAAUGGCUCACCAAGGCGACGAUCCGUAGCUGGUCUGAGAGGAUGAUCAGCCACACUGGAACUGAGACACGGUCCAGACUCCUACGGGAGGCAGCAGUGGGAAUAUUGGACAAUGGGCGCAAGCCUGAUCCAGCCAUACCGCGUGGGUGAAGAAGGCCUUCGGUUGUAAAGCCCUUUUGGUAGGUAAAGAAAAGCAAUCGGUUAAUACCCGGUUGUUCUGACGGUACCCAAAGAAUAAGCAACCGGCUAACUUCGUCGACCAGCAGCCGCGGUAAU